AACAUUCUUAAUAUAUCUGUUAGGUCCAACUGGUCCAAUGUGUUAUUCAAAGGCAUUGUUUUCUUGUUGAUUUCCCAUCUGGAUGAUCUAUCCAUUGAUUAAGUGUCUUACUGAUGUGUUCUAUUCUUCCCUCAAGCCCGGUGUGUAUAUUAACGAAAACGGCUUUAAAUUCUCCAUAAGAUUCCCAACCUCUCUGGAUUCCCUCUCAUUUGGUGAAGCUGUGUCAUGGCAUGAUGGACACCCCCUGAGUAUGUUUCAAUCAACCAGGACUUCCAGAGAAUGACUCUGAAUGAGCGACCACCACUCUCAUUUUUUUUUCCAAGAUGGAAGAAGCCUUUUCAUUGGCUCCUCAUCCUGUAGCCACUCCAUAAACGCAAGUCCUUGACCCUGAUAUAAUAUGGGGAAGCCUUAAACACCUGUAUAACCAGGCUGGCGAUUAAAUAUGCCCCUGAUGUAUAUCUGAUGACCCUGAUCUCUGCCACUGUUAUUUAUUACACAGGCAAAGGUGAUCCAUAGGCUUCUUAAUCAUGGGGGUCCUAGCUACAGUAAGCACUAUAGCCCCUGCUACCAUUGCUGAAAUUAGUCUUCACCACACUGUCAAACUGCACAUGUACUCAUUCAAUUCAUUGUCAAAUCCUCCAUUCUAAGCUUCCCUGUGAUAGAAAAUUUAGAUGUAACAUUACACCAACAGCUAUAAUACUCCAAAGAUCUAAGACACGAAUGGGCUGACUCAUGGUCUUUUUGGAAAGACGUUAACCCUCUAUUGGAUAAUGCCCAUAUCAAAUUUUGGAUAACUCUGGGAAAUGGAAUACUUUUACAGUGUCUCUUUUUAUACCUUUGCAGAAUCCCCCUCCAAACCACCCGACAGCAAAAGAAGGAUCAGAAGCUCAUCAUGAUGGUCCUUGCAUGUAAACUUAAGAUGACAAAAAAAAAAAAAAA